AAAAAAACAGAGAGAAGCUCUCUCUCCCUCAUUCUCUCCGGCCAAGGGGCCGGUCUAGGGCUCCGGCGAACCUCCGCCGAGGCGCCACCGACUGUGGCGGUCGGAGGUUCAAAAUGGAACCUUUCCGGUUCCUUUUUGAAGCCGAAGGCCUCUUAAACACGGAUCCAACGCCGAAUCUUGUGAAAGGUGAGCCCAACCCCGCCAAACGAGGAGUAACCGUCUGUCUCCUCCUCCUCCGGCGCGGCACAGGUAAGGUUUUCUUCUUCUUUUAUUUUUUCGUUUCCCUUUAUUUUUAUUUAUGUAUGUAAAAUAAAAAAGAAGAAGAUGAAAAACGAAAUAAAAAAACGAAAAGAAAGAAAGAAAAAUAAAAGGAUUCACCUUAAAUAUUUUUUUUUGUUUCUAUAUUUCUCUGCUAAUAUGCGUUACAAAGGUCGAAAAAAAAGAAGAAGAAAAAAAAAGCCCCUGAAAUUGAGUUACAAUCGGCUUUUAUAGCCCAUUUUUUGUUACUGUUUUUGAUAUAUUUUUUCUUGCUUCUUUCUCCUUUGCAGAUGCCAGUGGUGAUGGGAGUAGGUGGUGGUAGGUGCGGCGCGGAGUGGCGAUGGCAGAGACCAAAGGUCAAAGAGGGCGACGCCUAGGGUUUCAGUGCAGAUAUUUUUUUGGGAAGGAUGGGCUAGGGUAUUGGGCUGGUUUUGUAAUUGGGCUUGUGGGUUAUUGGGUAGGUUAGUUGGGCUUGGUUUU
rnacentral:lncRNA from 1 species